ACUCCUUCCCAGGGUGCCAGGGCACGGCCCCCUUUGCCUUUGCCCAGGGGAGAGGAAGUUUAGCACCUCACACUGACUGCAGAACGUUAAGGCUGCUCAGACCAUUUCCCCACAGCACCAGAUGCCCAUUUGUCCCCAGCAGUGACAACCUCAGUGACAACCUGGAAGGGUUUUUCAGGACACUGCCAGACAAAUGUGAGCUACCUGAACUGUUCCAGCUCAGUCUCCUCAAGCUUUGCAGGGUGUGAAGCAUCUCCCAGAGCAACUGCAGUGCUGAGGUAACCUGAGAAAGCUUCAGAGAGUGCUAAAAAUACCCCUGCUGCACUCGUGGGCAGCCAUGGGAUCCCUGUGGAUGCUCCCCAGGUGCUGCCAGCCUGCCCUGCUCCUCACCCUCAGCCUUCAGGCAGAAUUUUGCUUAAAAACAAAUGAAAAAUAUAAAGAAGUAAAACACUUCAAAGACUGAGAGAUGGGAAGUUCCUUUCUUAGAGAGUAAGAAACACCGUAGGAGACAUUAAGAAGCAACACAGCGGUAAUCCCUGCUGGGAUGAGUGGGAAAUGCAUUUCUGAAGGAGAAAUAACGACAGUGGAACAGCCUCUGCUCAGAGUCAGUGCCCUGAUGUGCACUCCUUUGUCCCACUGAGCAAGCACACAGAACAUUGCAGUGGUUUUGGGGGUGUCUCUAAUCUAAACAAUAGGAGAGAUGAAGGUGGGUGUGGGAGAGAAAGGGCACAGGGCGACAACACGAGGCUGAGCUUCCCAGACCCAGGCUGCCUGCAAAGGAACGGGCAAUAACACAGCCCAGAGCAAGCUUCCAGUGCUGUGGGGAUGUGCCCAGGCCUUUGCAAGGCUCCCAGCAGUGCCAGAGGGCAGAGAGAACCCUCCCAUCACCCAGCACACCCACUCGACCCCCACAAUGCCCCGCAGGACUGAGCCUCGUACAUUCAAACAACCCCCCCAACCCAACCAGUCAAUCAAUAACAAAUAAACAGAAUGCUGCAUAUGCCAAACCCACAGAAAAGGGACUUUAUGCCUGAAUCUGAAAGCUCAUUUCACACACAGACCGGUCAUCCAGCGCCGGCCUCCUGCCAAGCAAUGGAUCCAUGGAAUCCACACUGGUGGGCACUAAUGGAUCUCACUGCAUUAUCCUGCAACUCUCCCCAGCAGUGCCUAUGAUCAAUUUGUUGUGAUGUAUGGAAGGGGCUUUAGGACUUAUUUUGCUUGGGGAAGGAUUUAUAGAUCUGUUAGAGACUGGCCAGACUUAAUGCUGUACUUUGGGAAAGGAAAUGAAGGAGGAAGGAGAAGGGGCAAUAAAGCAGAUUGGAGCAGUGCUGGGUUAGGAUAAAUUCACUCAGUCAGCUUUGGGGGUUUAUAAGUCAGAGUAUCCUGUUUCUUUACUAACUGCAGCACCAGCAAAGGUUUUGGUCAGUUUGGAACAGUAAAACAGAAAUAUUGCCAUUAAGAGGCUGAGAAAAUGAGCACAGUGUACAUGUAAAGCCUCCUGAACACAAGGAACUCCAAACCUCCUGCGAAUGGCGCUGCUCCCGGAGUUCAAGCCCUGCUCCAGGCACUGUGUGUCCUCCACAGCUCCUCUGUGCCAUAUGCAGCACAGUUCUGCCUCCCUUCAUGAGAAUGAAACACUUGUGAACACACUGCUUCAAGCAGCCAGUGUUCUCAGCACAUGUUGGGAGGAGACUGAAAAUUAGUAUUUCCCCCGUGGACAUCCUUCUCCUUCUGUCCUUGAUAAGAGACAUGAGCUUUUCUUUAAAAAUAAGGCAGAUUUUGCAGCCCUGAAGGCCCAUCUCAGGCUCAGGGGCUUCUCAUCUCAGGUGAGGCUGCUCCACUGAGGCAGCACAGCUUCUGCUUCUUUGGGGGAAGAUUAUUGCAGCAGAUGAUGGGGAUGGAACCGGCCUGGAGGUGGGUCCUGUGGGGCUGGAGACAGCCCAGCACUUCUGAUGAGCUCCUGAGGCAGGGAAGCCAAACAGGAGGAAAAGACACUUUGCCCAAGGGGCCUUGGGAGAUGAGAGAUGCUGCUCCCUCCCUCCUCUUCCCUGGCUCCACACACAGCCCCUGCACUCAGCCACUGGAGGGAGGUGUCCCCUGUGACAGAGCUUUUCCUUUAAUAUCCAGGAACAAAGCUGUGGAAGUGGAACCAAACCAGACAGGGCUCCACACUGCUGGAAUCUGUGUGAGCUGUAACCAUCCUGAGGAACUGGGCACAAACAGCACUGCACGACACCUGCACCUGAGAAAUAACUGACCUUUUUGCUCCUCCUCUGCAGCCACCCUUCCCUGCUGCCCUGCCCAGCCCUGGUGCCCGAGGUCCAGCACAGUUUGGUGUUGUCUGAUGUGUCCUCUGUGCAGAUCACACCUCUGCAGGGAGCAGGUAAAACCCACAGCACACCCUGGGCAUGGCUUCCCAGCGGGAUAAGAGUGAGAUCACUGGCUGUGCACAUCAUUUUCUGUCAGGAGUAAAUCUACACCAAAUCUAACGCCCAUACAGACUCCAGGGAACGGAAAGCACAGGACACCUGACUCGACCCUGUAAUCUCACCUCCCAAAAAGCCCAGAGGAAUAGGAAUUCACCAUCUCCCUCACACUGAGUGCAAAAUGUUGAGGCUGCUCAGGCCGUUUUGCCCCAGUGCCAGAGGCAAACCCUGCACUUUAUUCUGUCCUGGGCACGGGCAGAAUAAAGACUCCUGUGUGGAACAGGGAAAGAAUUAACCAGGAGCUUUGCUACUUAAGCCAGUAGAAAACUUCAUUUUUUCCAUCUGCAUUGUUGGUAAGGACAGUCCUGAAUGAAAACCACUGUAGUGCCAACCCAAGCCAGGGGGAUUGUGUCUUCCAGCCCCUCUGGAGGAAAUGGGGGAGAGCCAAGGAGGGGAAAACACAGCCCAUGCCUGCCCUGAGGACACUCAGUCACCCCACCAAAGCUUCCAAGAGAACAGGGUUUUCCUCUGUUCACUCACCCUCAGCAAACACACAGGACCUCGUUCUCCAGCAGCCUCUUAUCCCACAGGCAAGUGGUUUCCUGGGAAGUACAUCCUUCCUGCUGGGUAACUGCCACGCCAGCUCAAUCACUACCUGAUUUUCAAAGCGUUUUUCUGAUUUCCUCAGCCCUCAAUUUCCCUGUAAAGCUCCAAGCAAACACAGGCUGUGUUUGUCAGCUUGUUUCCAACAGGCAGGAGAGAGGAAAAGCAGAAAGUGGUAACUGCUCUGCUGGAUUAAUAAUGCACUUAAAGAACAGCAACAAUUCUCUUAGGGAAUGCUCCUGUCAAUUAAAAUACACAAUUUUCAAAUGCUGCAGCUUUUCACCUGUUCUCAAAGAGCUCAGGAGAAACCCCUCUAGGACACUGCUGCCAAAAUGCACACGCCCUCAGAGAGGGUUUGAGGCACACUCAGAUUGCUGAGUGGCCAAAGCCAUUGGUGGCUGCACACCCUCAGAGACAGCCAGUGCCAGCAGGGAAUUCCCUCCAGAAACCUCCUUUGAUAACAAACAUGGAAGAGAAAAAGGUCCUGGGCUGUGACAGCUCCGAAUUGUGGAGGCCACACAAAGACCACCAGCAUUUUAAAUCUGUAAGAUCUGGUGGAGUCUGCUAGAAAAUCAGGAGUGCAAAGCAACUCCAGACUUUUGGAACAAAAAAUAUCUGUACUCCCUGCACUGCAACUCUUUGUACACCAGGUUUUGCUUGAAUUUGUAUCUUGGUAACACCAAACCCAUGAGCUUUUGCCAACUACGAUGGACACCCUGGAACAAAGACUGGUGAGAGCCUCUGCUGCUGGGAACUGAAGUCCUCUGUUAAUGACCUUUUAAUUCAAACUGAGGAUGAGAGCACAUGAAAGAACUGGGUGGGUGGAUGCUCUUGCUUUACUCUCUUUCAGCAAAUAUUUGAUGACAUGAUUAGGAAACAUGAGUUUGUUCAAUGUGUUUUAAUUACAUUUUGGUUGGAGGAUUCCCUAUUCUGUGGAAGGGAGGAGACAAGCAGUGUUGGGCUGUGAGUGACACAGAUUUUACAAAAAAAAACCCCACUAACCAAACAGUUCCCAUCUUCUAAUUAGAUUUAUAAUUAAAACCACGUCAUACAGAGGGAAAAUAAAAAACACAGAUCUCAGCAAAAGGUUUUUGAAAUAUUUGGGAAUGGGUUGAAAAAAACCAUGAUAAUCUAAUGAAGGGGGAAGAAAGAAGGAAAUGGAAAGUGUUGGAACAGCUUAAAAAUAAAGCAGUCUGUGCCUAAGUGUUACACCUGCCAUUUCCCAGGUAAACAUUCCAGGCCUGGAAGCUGAGAGCAAGGAUGCAAACCCCCAAAAGAGUGCCUGAAGCAACAGUGCAAAUGAAAGAGGGACAACAAAAGCAGAUGGAAAAGGACCAAAAGACGUGGAAAGAACAGGGAGCAAAGGCAGCAGAGAGGGAGCAAAGGGCUCUGGUUCAGCCUCGUGGCUUUGGGCCUGGGCUGUGGGAGCAGGAGCUCAGCUCCCUGACUCCAGCCUCCACUGGCAGCUUGUCUGCAGCACCCUGGCAGUGCUUCCCUUCCCUUCCCAUCACUGAGGGGGGAAGCUGAAUUACAAGGACAAAGAGUUGGAAGGGGGAAUGUCUGUCAGUUCUCCAUCCCUGCCUCCUGCUCCCUCCUCCCCCGAAACAAAUACCAAGUGAAGCAAUUUGAAUUGGGUGACUUGCCAAGUUUCUCUUUGCAAAUGCAUUCACUGUCGCUGUAUGACAGAUGUCCACAUUUCCAUAGCCCUGAAACACUGCUCCUACAAAAAUUCCAGGUUAUCUCCAGCUAACUGAGGUGUGGCUGCCAGUCCCUGAGCUGGCUUCCCCGGCCCCACCAGGGCCAGCAGUCACACCCCCGGCAGGGCUGGGAGGACAGCCCUGUGCUCACCAGCUGAGGUCACUCCCUGACACAGCAGGUCUGUCACAGCCCAGGGAGUGUCAGUGGGAUCCAAAUCCAUGGUUGGGUCCCUGCCUGUUUGCUGAGUUACUGCUGAGUGUGCUCAUCACGGCACACACGGGCUCUGGGCUCUGCUGUGCAGGGCUGCUGGGACAAGGUGCAGUAGCAGGGAGGCUUUGAGGGUCAGCCAGGGCCCACGCCCCAUCCCUGGCUGGAGCACUGCUCACACCACACAUCUGUUGAAUGUUAGCUGCAAAACUCAAUCCACAACAACAGAAGAGCAGCUCUCAGGAACAUGGCAAACCCACACCCCAUCUAUGGCUCCUCCUUAGAGCCACCCCUCUGCCCUGAGCCACAGCUCUGCAGCACAGGGAGACAUUAACAGGCUCCAGUGGAUAUUCCCGUUUUUAUGCCUUUCCUAUUACCUGAUCAAACUAAAAUAUUGACUCAGUGGUGGUUCUGCAAUUCCCCUGACGAAGCAGCCCUUGGGUACAGCAGUGAGCUACAACUCAGGUUCCACUGGAACAGGGAGGGCAGCAUGUGAAACCAUUUUCUCUGGAAAUGUUCUUGCCACUAAAUAUUAAUAAAACCUUUACAUUAGAGGUCUGUGGGGUUUUGGAAAGAAAAAAACCGAAUUAAUACAUAUGGAGAGAGACAAGCACAGCAAAAGAAAUUGGGAAAGGACCACCCCUAAGUGACAGGGAAGGGAGAGAUCUGCCUGAAGAGGUGUCAGCAAAUGUGUCAGUGCAUUUUCAUGAGAGACAGAAAGCAGAAGAGGAGGAAAAGAAAGGAUAUUGAAAGCAGAGAGGGAAAAGAAGGAAAGUGUGGCAGGAGGAGAGGAAAAAGCCUGGGCCAAGGCCAGGGCUCUUCAGUGCAGACUGAGCAGAGGUGUCACAGGAGUGAGUCGUCACCUCUCUCCUACCAAGGGCAAUCCUGCAAUUCCCAACCCCUCCCAGUGCUCCAGCCCCUGCCAAAGAGGGGCUGUGCAAAAGGCAAAAGGCCAAAGGCCUCAAUCACUGAGGCCCUGCUGACAUUGGAAGGCACAGCACUGGAACUGAGCAAGGGCUGUGCCAGAAACCUUCCCCACUUGUGGAGCUCAUUGUAGCUUUGCAGUUUAUUUGUCAGGAGCACUUGGUUUGGCUUCAUGCCCAACAAAUUCCCAUUUCUCCCACUGUAUGGAAUGGAACCAGUGCCAGGAGCUGAUGCAUUCCCACCGUGCAUCCUUGUCUUUGGGACAGGGCCUGAUCACCACUGAGAGCACGUUCAGGGUGGUACUCACAGGAACAACCCCCAGAACUAACUUGGACAAAGGGAACGUCCAGGGGAUCGGAUGCGAAGUCGGAAUAAGCUGCAUUUCCUUCCUCUCCCCAGAGCCAUCCCUUUCUUCGGGAGGAAAGAUCCAAAAAUUAGGGUAGAGAGAAGUGAACUGCUCAAGGUCACCCAGCAAAGAGCUGCAGAGGCCCUUCCAACUGUCAUGGAUUUUAUGGAGUUAUGGAUUUUUGUAAGGCUUUUUUAAUGAAAUAUAAGAGAAAUAUGUUCUAGUAAGUAUGUGCAGAUCUGAAAAGUUACAAGUGUCUUCCACUCAUUUUUAACGAACUACUAACUUUUUUCUUAAAACCAUAUUUGAAAAACCCCUUAACUUCAUAUUUGUUUAUUUAUUUAAUUUAAUUUCAGUCUUGCAUUUACGUUUCUAAUAUAUCCCUCAAAGGAUUAAAAAUAAUAUAACACAGCUAUUA